rnacentral:rRNA from 1 species
UACGUAGGGGGCUAGCGUUGUCCGGAAUCAUUGGGCGUAAAGCGCGUGUAGGCGGCUUGGUAAGUCCGCUCUGAAAGCCCGGGGGCUCAACCCCGGGAGGCGGGUGGAUACUGUCAAGCUUGAGUCCGGAAGAGGCGAGUGGAAUUCCCGGUGUAGCGGUGAAAUGCGCAGAUAUCGGGAGGAACACCAAUGGCGAAGGCAGCUCGCUGGGACGUGACUGACGCUGAGGAGCGAAAGCGUGGGGAGCGAACAGG